UACGUAGGGGGGCGAGCGUUGUCCGGAUUUAUUGGGCGUAAAGAGCGUGUAGGCGGCCAGGUAGGUCUGCUGUGAAAACUCGAGGCUCAACCCUCGAGACGUCGGCGGAAACCCAUCUGGCUAGAGUCCGGAAGAGGAGAGUGGAAUUCCUGGUGUAGCGGUGAAAUGCGCAGAUAUCAGGAAGAACACCUGUGGCGAAGGCGGCUCUCUGGGACGGUACUGACGCUGAGACGCGAAAGCGUGGGGAGCGAACAGG
rnacentral:rRNA from 1 species